UACGUAGGGUGCAAGCGUUGUCCGGAAUUAUUGGGCGUAAAGAGCUUGUAGGCGGUUUGUCGCGUCUGCUGUGAAAUUCCAGGGCUUAACCCUGGGCUUGCAGUGGGUACGGGCAGACUAGAGUGUGGUAGGGGAGACUGGAAUUCCUGGUGUAGCGGUGGAAUGCGCAGAUAUCAGGAGGAACACCGAUGGCGAAGGCAGGUCUCUGGGCCACUACUGACGCUGAGAAGCGAAAGCAUGGGGAGCGAACAGG
rnacentral:rRNA from 1 species